UCCGGUGGUUAUAGCGGAGGGGAAACACCUCUUCCCAUUCCGAACAGAGCCGUUAAGCCCUCUUGCGCCGAUGGUACUGCUGGGGUCGCCUAGUGGGAGAGUAGGACGCUGCCGGAU
rnacentral:rRNA from 1 species